rnacentral:rRNA from 1 species
AUUUAAAGUUUAAUUAAAAUAAUAAUAAAAUUAAAUUUAGUUUUAGUAAAAAGUUAAUAAAGAAAAAAUAUAAAAUUUUUAUAAUAAAUUAGUAAAGUAGUUGAAAUUUUAAAAAUAAUUAGAUAAAAAUUAAAUUUUUAAAAGUAAAUUUAAUUGAUUGUAUCUUGGGUAUCAGAGUUUAAAAAAAAAAUAAAUGAUAUAUUUAAUAUCUCGAAAAAAAUUAAGAAAUAAAAAUUAAAUUUUUAUUAAUGUGGCAAAAUUAUAAAAAAUUAAUUUUUAGAAAUUAAAAGUUAUUCGUUUUUUUUUAUAUCUAGUUUUUAAAGAAAUAAAUUUAAUUUAAUUUUUAUUUUAUAUAAAAUUUAAUUUUUUGAUUGGAAAAUUUUAAUUAAAUUAUAAAUAUUUUAAAUAUAUAAAUAAAAUUAAAUAAAUAUAGGGUUAAGCUUAUAUUUAAAAUUUUAUAUUUAAUAUAAUAUAUAAAUAAAAUUAUAAAAUUAAAAUUUUUUAUUAAUUUAAAGUUUUUAAUAUAAUAUUUAUAAGUAAAAUUAUUAGAAUAAUAUUUAAUUUUAAAAAUUAAAGAUUUAUUUAAAAGAUAAUAAUAAUUUAAUAUAUAAUGAUAUAAUGUUAAAAUUAGUAUAAAAAUUUUUAAAUUUAUAAUUUAUGUAAAUUAAAUUAAUGAAUUAGGCAAAAUUAAAUUAUUUAUAUAAAUAAUUAAAUUAUUUCACUUGUUUAACAAAAACAUGUCUUUUAGAUUUAAAUUUAAAGUCAAAUCUGCCCACUGAAUAAUUUUUUAAAGGGCUGCAGAAUUUUAACUGUACAAAGGUAGCAUAAUAAAUUGUUUUUUAAAUGAAAACUAGAAUGAAGGAUUUAAUGAAAAUAAUACUUUAUAAAUUUAAUAAGUAAAAUUUAUUUUUUUUGUAAAAAAACAAAAAUUAAUUAAAAAGACGAGAAGACCCUUUAGAUUUUAAUUAUUUAAAAAAUUUAAUAAAAAAUAUUUAAAAUUUUUAAUUUAAUAAAUAAUUUGAUUGGGGUGAUUUAUAAAUUUAAUUAACUUUAUUUGUAAAAAUUAUAUAAUUUUGAUUAAAAAAUUUAAUAAAUAUAUUUAAAUUGAUUUAGUUUUAUGGAUUAAAUGAUUAAAUUACCUAAGGGAUAACAGCGUUAUUUUGAUUUUUAGUUCUUAUAAAAAUUAAAGUUUGCGACCUCGAUGUUGGAUUAAGAUUAAAUUAAAUUGCAGAAAAUUUAUAUUUUAGUCUGUUCGACUAUUAAAAUCUUACAUGAUCUGAGUUCAAACCGGUGUGAGCCAGGUUGGUUUCUAUCUUUUAAUAAAUAGAAAAAUUUAAUAUUUUAGUACGAAAGGAUUAAAUAUUAAAAAUAAAAAAUUUUUAAAAUUAAAUUGAAAUUAAUUAAAUUAUUAUAAAAAAAAAUAAGUUUAGAAAAAAAAGU